UAACAUGAGUCUAUUUUCAGAGGCCUUGCCUUAUUUAUUCUCCACAGAAACUCUUUGGCAGAGAUGCAGAAUCGCCACGGAGCCAGAGUGCCGGAUCGGGAACACUCGCCUCGCCUUGUCCAAAGAGGAACUGGUAGUCAAGACUGGCCAGAGCAGCGGAAUAUCUCAAUAUAUUCAUGUCCCAAAUGUGAAGAAAUUUUACCUGAUUUGGAUACACUGCAGAUUCACGUUAUGGACUGCAUUAAUUGAGUGAUGCCCUCCAUUUCUUCGUCUUCUGGAAUUUCACCUGCCAAACACUUUGGGGUUUUUUUUCCUUCUUGCUCAAAUAAUGUUAAAUUCUAUAUCCUAUGAAGGAAGUUUUCAGGGUUUUCUCAUUAAUUCAGUGGGAAAACAGUAAAACUCUUCCCCUGCCCUGUAGUCACUAAUCUUGUUGUAAUCUGCUUUAGGGAAAGAAUUUUCAUAGGUUAACAACAUGGAUGUGCUACAGAACCCACAGUGUGCCUGCUGCUGUGAAACCUUUCAGGAACAUUCCCCUGAAGUGCUCUGCCCUGUGGCUGCCCUGCAGAAUGGGGCUGACUCACUGAAUUCAGAAGAGAGGUGGGAUAUUUGCUGAUCAACUCUUAAGAACAGUGAGCCUGUUCAUCUCUCAUAUAUUAUAUACCAGGAAAGUAAUACAUGAAAAAGCUGUUUGAGAAGCUUUCAGCAAAAUGGAGUAGAGCUGUAUUCAUCGAGCAUUUGAAGUGAACCCUGCUCUUUCUCCAGAUGGCAGUUUUAUUGCUGCCCUUGUGACCAUACUAAUCUGAUGUUAAAUUUUUGAUGGCUUAUGUAACUUGUUGCUUUAGCCAGAUGUGGGUAAGGUUUAAAACAGAUCAUUUAGGUCUGAAACAUGUAGCUCCCGAUGUACUCAAGUCACUUGGUUUUAUAGAACUCUUAAUUUUUAAGGUGUUGUCUUGACUUUUGUUUAUUAUAAUAAAAUAAUUUGAACCUGUACAGUAUUGUGGUAGAAAGCGCUGAGAUGGAUGUAUCCUAAUUUAAAAAAUUAUAAUGGAUUUUCACAUCCUGAAAUAAAUCUAUAACAGUUAUAAAA